GUAGUCUAAGUGGUUAGAGCAUCGGCUUUGGAUGCGGGAGGUCGCCGGUUCGAUCCCCGGCUGAGUCA